rnacentral:RNase_P_RNA from 2 species
GAAGUCUGCCAGACCGUCGCUGGCGCAAGGCCCGCAAGGGUGCGCUGGAGGAACGUCCGGACUGCGCAGGGCAGCGUAGGAGGUAACGCCUCUCCACCGCGAGGUGAGGAUCAGAGCAACAGAGACGAGCCGAUUCAGUUCGGGUGAAACGGGCAAUCUCUACGCGCAGCAACACCAAGUAGGCCGGCCGGCUCCGGGCGCAAGUCCGGGGCCACCCGUGGUCCCGCGGGCCGUGUCGGUGGGUAGGUGGCAUCGAGCCGUCCGGGUGACCGGCGGCCCAGAGGAAUGGCGGUCACGCGGGGUCUUCGGGCCCCGUGCACAGAAUCCGGCGUACCGGCGGACUUCACCC